CAACCACAGCUUUAGAAAUCUAUUCACAUAAAAAAAAAUUCAGUAAUGCUCCUGGUUAAUGUCUAGCUCUCAGCCUGUGCAAGGAUCCUGUCAAAGAUUGACUAUAAACUGCUUCUCAGAGAAGGAGGAGUGCUCUGGAAACCUGCAGAUGAAAAGGCAAAUAGAAAGUCAGCAUGCCAGGCUGCGUCAACCACAGCUAAAGGAAUCUAUUCACAUAAAAAAAUUCCAGUAAUGCUCCUGGAUGAUAUCUAGCUCUCAGCUCGUACCAGGCUAUUGCUGUAGAUUGACUGCAAGCUGCUUUUGGGAGAAAAAGAAGUGCUCCGGAAACCUGCAGAUGAAAAGAGAAUGUCAGCAUAGUCAGAGGAGGAGGAAGCGCCUGCAACAGCAGCAGCAGCAGCAGCAGCAGCAGCAGCAGCAGCAGCAGCAGCAGCAGCAGCAGCAGCAGCAGGAUCGACAGGAUCAGCAGCAGGAUCAGCAGCAAGGGCAGCAGCAACAGCACGGGCAGCAGGGGCAGCAGGGGCAGCAGCUGCAGCAGCAGGAGCAGCAGCUGUGCCAGCAGCAGCAACAGUGCCAGCAGUGCCAGCAACUGCAGCAGCAGCAGCAGCAACAGCAGCAGCAGCAACGUAGGAGGAGAAAAAACAGGAGAAGCCGGAGGAGCAGGAAGAGCAAGAGGACCAGGAGGACCAGGAGGACCAGGAACACCAGGAGGAGGCGAAGAAGAAAUAAUGAGUGAUUGUGUCUACAUUUACAGAAAGAGUUUGAUGUGGUAGAAAUGUUGGUAAAUAUAAUACUCAAACCUGAAAUUCUAAUAAAAUAAUUGAAAGAUAGCAGAAAGCCUUCAAAGUCGUGCAAACACAAUAUGCACUAUAUAUAGUAAAUUAAAUUGCUAAUUCUACCUUCUUUGAUCUAUUGCUCAUUUGAAAAUUGUUUCAAUUUUUUUCUUCACUCAGCAGUAUGGCUCUUAGAGUCAGGCAAUCUGUUUUAAAACUGUUUAGAUCGUUGCUUUCUUAAGGCUUAACGUGUUGAUAUAUAUAUAUAAAUUUUCUAUUUGUAUCCUUGUAUAGAUUCCUUGGAGAAAUGUGUACUCAAGAAUUUACUCAUGUAGAGUCUCACUAUGCUGCCAUCUGAGACUUCGAGUUCAUUACUGAAACCAUGCUUCUUCCCAGCAUCACGAGAAGAACACAACAGAUACAGAUCACCACAUUUAGCUGGUGGAGAGGAUUUGCAAGUAGCUUCUGGGAUCAUGCUUCCAGUUAAUUCUGAUUGAAAAGAUGCCAGCAUCCAAUAGCUUCAGAGGAAAGACAGUGGCAGGAUUUAAGGUUCCCAGGCUUGGGACCAUGAGGAAGAAGAAAGACAGAGAGAUGUCAUGCCUAAGGUGUGUACAGAGAAGAAAAGCAGAGCCACUAUGUAAUUGGGCCAGGAGAACAUGACCCAGAGGGCUGCUCAAUUAAGUCAAGAGCAGCCAAAACAGAACAAAGAAAUUGGUAAGUAGUAACUCAGAGUUAUCUGUGUGAGGUUGAUUCUAACAGCAUAGAGGUUAGCCAGUUGAUCAGAUAUUGUGCUGCUUAAGUCAAAUUUAAUAUAAAGGCAGUGUAUCUCUUCCAUUUGUGAACAUAAACAAUUGUUGUGGGUGGUCAUCCCAUUAGAGCUUUAUUUAAAAAUAAGUACUACAACUAUGAUAAUGCAAAUGUGCAAGAAAAAAAAAUCAACAAAAACACAUGAUCCCAAGACAAGGCAUAAGAACCAGAGUCCCAGUUAUUUGUACACUCAGACGUCCCAUAAAAUCCCUUUAUUGGAAGUCAUAGUGUAUGUGAGAAGGACCAACACAAGCUAAAGGCCCUGCAAUAUAGCAAGCACUGUACGUUCUAUGUUGGCAUUGACUUGACAUUUCACUUUUAGUGAAAUUUCUAAGUAUUGUCAUGAACAACAGGACCUUGAUCUGAGUUUGGCAAGAGAAUCCUAUAUACUUAGCAACAAUUUGAGUUGUUUGGAGAUUUCUUUUCUAUAUAUGACUGCCCUUUUGGCCCAUAACAAAUUUAAAUGUAGAACAAUUCCAGUACUGGAAGUUUUGUUUCAAAAACUUGUGACAAGUGAUGGACAAUUGAGUGAGAUACAAUAUUUGGUGAUUUCAUUUAGAUCUCUCUCUCUCUCUCUCUCUCUCUCUCUCUCUCUCUCUCUCUCUCUCAUUCUCUCUCCCUCCCUCCCUCUCUCUCUCUCUCUCUCUCUCUCUCACACACACACACACACACACACACACAAACACACACACACACUCAUACACACACACUCACUCACAUACAUACACACAAAUGUGUAUAUAUGUAUAUAUAAUUUAAAAUGUUCCUAUUGUAUUGUUUCCCUACUCCCUCUGCAGUACCCCUCUAGUGUCCCAUUAAUUUUAGUUAUUUCUACUGUAUUCCUUUUCACAAUCCACUCUCCUUACCCUAACUGUUUCUCCCUGUUUGCUCUUUCACUGUCUCCUCUCUCCUCUCAUUCCCCAUUCGAAUCCACUCCCAUUCCUAGUCUGUUAGUUUUGUCUAGUCUCUUACUUAUGUCAGAGUAUGCUUUACAAAACUUGUAUAUUAUCUGAUAUUUUAGAAAAAAAGCUUAGUAUUGACUUUAUCUAAUGACAUAACAUCUGGAACAAUGUCCAAUGGAACUGGGAACAAUGUGUAUCAGAUGAUUUUUUUAAUGGCAAAUAUACUGACGUAUUUAGGAAGUGGUAACAUUAGUUAUCAGAUAAUUUUUAAAAUGGCUGAUAGACUGAGGUGUUUAAGACCUGUAUAUAUUAGUUUUCCAUUUAUGUUUAUGAAAUUUCAUUUUUGUAACUAAUAUUUGAAUUAUUAUUUCUAAUCGUGAAAGUGGCUAUGGAUUUUCAAAGACUUUUCUUUUACUGAAUGUUGAAAUGAUCAUGUAGUCUUUUUUCAUUACUUGUAUUAUUGUAGUACUUUGCAUGAGCUCUUUAUGUAUGUUAAGCUAUUCCUACAUGUUUAAGUCACAUUUACAGUAUCAUAAUUUAAAAACUUUUCUAUCUGUUGAAUGAAUUUGAUUGUAUUUGUUAGUAUAUAAAUCAUUUUGUAUUUUUAUUUGAUGUUUUUCAUAUAAUAUACUUUGAUUACCCUAUUUCCACUUUCCCAACUAUUCCCGGAUAUUGCUGUCUCCCUAUCAAUAAAAUUUCAUCCACCCUUGGCUAUGUACAAGGUAACCGUCUUUGUGUCUGUCUCACCCCGCCAUCAAUAAAAACAAAAGACCAAAAAAUGACCAAAUAAAACCCACAAAACAAGCUAGUACAAAAAUAAAAUUAAACAAAUACCCAC
rnacentral:lncRNA from 1 species